rnacentral:rRNA from 2 species
CCAACUACGUGCCAGCAGCCGCGGUAAUACGUAGGGUGCGAGCGUUGUCCGGAAUUACUGGGCGUAAAGAGCUCGUAGGUGGUUUGUCGCGUUGUUCGUGAAAACUCACAGCUUAACUGUGGGCGUGCGGGCGAUACGGGCAGACUGGAGUACUGCAGGGGAGACUGGAAUUCCUGGUGUAGCGGUGGAAUGCGCAGAUAUCAGGAGGAACACCGGUGGCGAAGGCGGGUCUCUGGGCAGUAACUGACGCUGAGGAGCGAAAGCGUGGGGAGCGAACAGGAUUAGAUACCCUGGUAGUCCACGCCGUAAACGGUGGGUACUAGGUGUGGGUUUCCUUCCUUGGGAUCCGUGCCGUAGCUAACGCAUUAAGUACCCCGCCUGGGGAGUACGGCCGCAAGGCUAAAACUCAAAGGAAUUGACGGGGGCCCGCACAAGCGGCGGAGCAUGUGGAUUAAUUCGAUGCAACGCGAAGAACCUU